UACGAAGGGUGCAAGCGUUACUCGGAAUUACUGGGCGUAAAGCGUGAGUAGGUGGUUUCUUAAGUCUGCUGUGAAAGCCCCGGGCUCAACCUGGGAAUUGCAGUGGAUACUGGGGAGCUAGAGUGCGGUAGAGGGUAGUGGAAUUCCCGGUGUAGCGGUGAAAUGCGUAGAGAUCGGGAAGAACACCAGUGGCGAAGGCGGCUACCUGGACCGGCACUGACACUGAGUCACGAAAGCGUGGGGAGCAAACAGG
rnacentral:rRNA from 1 species